UUCAGCUGACGACAUUUAAUUUUGUGCCAUAUUUCGUAUGGAGUGCUGUAUGUGAACAUUAUGUGCUUACACUUUUACAUUUACUUAUCAUGUUUGUUAUUCAAAAUGUGGGGAAAACCCGAAGAAAAUUUUUUUUCAUGUUAUGGGCAAAGCUCAUAAUCAUUGUCCAUUAUUUCAAAAAGCUUAAUUUUCAUUUUGCAAGAAACAUGUACAUAUUAAUGUUUACUAAAGUUUGUUAUUCAGCAUAAGGAAAAAAUAACCUGAAAAAAUGCAAUGGUCAUAAAACAACAAUUGUCCUUUAUUCUUGAAUUUUUUUUUAAUGUUGCAAGUCUGAAGACACUUUCUUGUUUUCAACAUUAUUAACAUAUUAACAAAACCCAAAUGUUUGUCUGAAGCUUGUAGGCAUGCAGUGUAGAAUGAUUAAAUUACACAAUGUUAAUAAAAAUGUCUCAAAAUCUAAUAAUUCAAUAUCCUUUGUUAGAAAGCAACCUUUGUAUUCACUUUCAUUUAGACAGCUUGGAGCUACAGCAUUCUUAAAAUUCUUUCUUUUUGUUUUCAAGUGAAUGUUGUAUUUCUUUGAUACCAACACAUGUAACCAACGACUGUUAAAAAUGAAAAAGACUUCAAAAUAAAUUUGCACAAACCAU
rnacentral:sRNA from 1 species